UACCUGCAGCUCAAGUGGUGGCCGUUAUUAUUGGGCCUAAAACGUCCGUAGCCGGUUUAUUAAAUGCCUGGGUAAAUCGGGCCGCUUAACGGUUCGAAUUCCGGGUAGACUGAUAGACUUGGGACCGGGAGAAGCUAGAGGUACUCCUGGGGUAGAGGUGAAAUCCUGUAAUCCUAGGGGGACCACCAGUGGCGAAGGCGUCUAGCUAGAACGGGUCUGACGGUGAGGGACGAAGCCCUGGGGCGCAAACCGGAUUAGAUACCCGGGUAGUCCAGGGUGUAAACGCUGCUUGCUUGAUGUUAGUCGGGCUCCGAGCCCGAUUAGUGUCGGAGAGAAGUUGUUAAGCAAGCUGCCUGGGAGUACGGCCGCAAGACUGAAACUUAAGGAAUUGGCGGGGAGCACAGCAACGGGUGGAGCGUGCGGUUU
rnacentral:rRNA from 1 species